CGGAGUCUGUGUCUGAAGAAGGAGAGAGGCAUGCAGGGAAAGCCCAGAAGCCAACAAAAGAAGCCAAAGAAAAACUGCUGCAGAGAGACAAAAGAAAGCUGAAGCAGACCAGAGCUGACUGACCAGGAACUGAACAGCAAUAGCAGUGAUUUGUAAAAGAUAACAGCAAUGGAUUGAUAGAAAAACAGCAUCAACUCUAAGCCACAAUGGAACAUAAGGAACUGCUUCCCUCCACAGAAGAAUUCAUGAGAUUUCUUUUGUUCCUGUUCACCAGUUUUCAACCUUCCAGCCACCACAAUAUUUUUUGCUGAUUGUACCAGGUUCACCAUUGGAAAUUUAUGAAGUUCAGAGCAUUCACAACUCUAGCAGAAGCCUGCAAGUGCUCAGCACCCUUGUAAUGGGUGCUAUUGGAAGAACAAACAGGAAGGCAAUGGGAUGGUUUCCCAGCUAAGAACAUCUUAACACAUACUGUUCGGCAAUGGAAGAAGCUCUUACCUUUGAGAAUCUUACAUCCCAUCUCCAAAAAGUUGCAAGCUUUUAUUGCUAGUGAUGAGACCUUCGCUAUCAACAGUUACGAAGCCACAAUCCCUGAGGACCAGAGUGAUCAGAAAAGACUGAACGGCUUUUACAAGAGACUUUCCCUGAAGCAGGUUGGGAGACAUGAUUUGUUAGUAAAGGGAACAGAAAAUGCCAGUGAGACCCUAAAGGUGUUGGGAGGUCCAUAGGAAGCUUACAUCUUCCAGGAUCCUCAUGUUGAAGAUGGAUAGAUAUGUACAGACAUGUCUAGACUGUUUAUUUGUUUUAAGGCCAGCUUUCUCUGAAAACUUUAGUUCUAAAUUAAUAACACUUUGCUUUAAGUCGUCAGUUUGGUUACUGGAUACCACUGUCUCAGCUCCUGCAGGGAAGUGAACUGGAGAUACUGAACCUAAGGCAGGCCUGCUGAGGUAAUUGUGGCUGACCACACAGGGGACUGCAGAGCAGGGCCCACUCUGACAGUGGGAGAAUUGCGUGAUUCUACCUGAGAGAGGUGACGGUAUGAACUUGAAUGUGGGGGGGUGUGCACGUGGAACGACCAGGAAGGGUCAGAGAUGCAGUAAGCCCAGUGGCUGUGACACAUUUCAUAAGUUUUUUGUUUGUUUUGUUUUUUGCUUAUGGCUUAUUCUCUUGUGUUAGUUUUAAACAAACAAACAUUUCAAAAAUAUAAUUAAAUGGCUUUUCUCACAUAAAAUAAUUAUUUUGUUCAGUCUGUUUGCUCUAUAGUAUGGAUUUACAUCUACUAAGUAUUCAGCAUUGUUUUUUAUUCCUUAUCUCCCUUUGCUAUUUACUUUUCAGCUAAGUGAGAUUUUUUAUGGCGG